ensembl:lncRNA
UUUCUUUUUCCUCUCAGCUGGUGAUCAGAAACCACCUUUGGCACCAAAACCAAAGGUUCUCCCAGCACCGAAGCAAACAGAGCAUCCAGCUGCUUCAAAGCUGUGUGUUUACCAGCCUUCCUCAACGGCUGUUAAAUGCAAAGUUAAGCCUGAUGUGGCACCAAAGCCAUGUCUCUCCAAACUUCCCCCUUCCGCUUUCAAUUCAAAGCACCUCACAUCCAAGGUUGGCCAUCAAGCUGUUUUACAACAAAAGUCUGACAUCACAAAGACCAUUGGUGCUUUAAAUUUCAGAAAUGAAGCGCACACUGGGAAUAACAAGCCGGAGUGGGAUUACAUCAUUCCCAUCUGUGUAUGCAAUGACCGAAACUGUGCCGAUUGCUCACCAAAGGAAAACAACCAAAAUGUUCGUCAACAAAGUCCUGAUAAGUAUAAGGCAGGCAAAACCGAAGGACCCAGAAAGAACCCAUCCAAACCUCCGCUGAGAACUCCAGAAGAACAGAAGGAUUUAGUGACACCUACUUCAUCGAAGUGCAUCUCUGAACACAGUUCAUCCAAUAGUAAUCAUUUCCAUCCAACUGAAAAACCUCGGAAAACAUCCCAGAACACAGAGCCACUUAAGGCACAUCAGAGUGGUUCUGAGAUGCAAACGACCAGGAAACACCAAAACAACAUUGUUUCUAGUGUUAAUUCAUCUGUUGAUGGUGAUCCAGAACCUCUAGAAUGUCAGCAAGCACUAAAUAGUGUGCAGUAUUGUCCGUUCCCUACUAAGCCACCUGUGAAAGCACCACCAGCAGCCAUGCAGCACAAAACUAAGAAGAAACAAUCCAGCAUUGUCCUUCAGGAGUCAACAGACCUUACCAAAACAGAGCUUACCGUCUUACCUGUUGAUGUAAACAAUCCAGAUCCGUUACGGAGAGAAAGUCCUAAUAACGUGAACAUCAAUGCUGCAAGACGUUAUAGAGAGAACAAAGAUGCUCAGGCCGCAAGGGGUGCUAAAGGUACCCAGGGCAUCAGCCAGGGCGCUCCAACACCUGCCCCAUGCCAGAAGAUCCCUCAGAUGCAACAAAAUAAAACCCAGGAUGUUGGUGUACAGGCAACUGAAAAGAAAGUGCAAAAUCUGGAUGCAAUCCCUGAGGUCGUUGAGAUUUCGGUGUCAAGCGGUAAACAUCUGAAGAAGAAGACCCAAAAACCUCAAGCUGAUGGCCGCAGGCAUGAUAACAUUGGGGCUACAGAACUUUCAGUAGAUAGACUCCCUAAAAAGAAACCAGCGUCCAAAUCUCCACUGAGAAACGAUGGAAAAAAUGCUGAAGGACAUCCUCCUCUUGCAGUUGAGAAGAAGCAAGCAAGUGAUGUGCUAAACAAGAAGAGACUCAAGCCGAAAUCCAAGUCCUUAUCGUCAGCAGACAUCCUUAAACCCGAUGGCCUCAAGAAGACCUCCUUUCUUUGGAUCAUGGACUUUGACCGUGUCAAAAAGGUGCCCAAGGUAUCCGUCAAGAGUGGACAGGCCGACGAUCUCACUCCGGUUAUGAACGAGCAGCCAGUGGACACGGAGGAAAGCCAGCGCAAAAUCUGCUCUCAGAAACCGAUGCCACUGCACAAUGGACAUCCAGAUGCACUGAAACUGAGGCAAGCAGUGAAUGGGAACAUAUUAGGAGUUGAGCAGCAUGUAGAUGAAGAUCUAGACAAUGUUGGUGAAUCUGAACAUGCAUAUGAAGAUAUCACAGAAUGCGAAAACCUGCCUCCUUUUAGCACUGCAACAGCACAAAAUGCAAAUAAAUACCAAUACCAGUCUUCAAAAUAUGAGGACGAUGGUAUUUAUGAAGUUCCUGAUGUGUUCCCUGAACACUACGUAGAUGCCAAAGAGCAGCAGUUUCUUGAAAGAAAUGUGUUGGAAGAAGUGCAGGAAGUGGAUGAUACGCAUUCAGAAGAAGAUGAAGGCAGCUCAGAAGACGAGGAUAACACCGUCAAUAAAGAAAAACAGGUACUGUAUUCACAUUUAGAUGAUAUUGAGAAAUG